UUGAAUCAACUUUGUAAGUCGCUCUGGAUAAGAGCGUCUGCUAAAUGACUUAAA
rfam:Salmo salar isolate Sally breed double haploid chromosome ssa05, whole genome shotgun sequence.